UACCGAGGUGCCACGCGUUAGGCGGAAUCACUGGGCUUAAAGCGCGUGUAGGCGGGUCGUUAAGUGUCCGCGGGAAAUCCCACGGCUCAACCGUGGAACUGCCGGGCAUACUGGCGAUCUUGAGGCAUUCAGGGGCGAGCGGAACAAAUGGUGGAGAGGUGAAAUGCGUAGAUAUCAUUUGGAACGCCAAUGGUGAAAACAGCUCGCUGGGAAUGAUCUGACGCUGAGACGCGAAAGCCAGGGGAGAGAACGGU
rnacentral:rRNA from 1 species